rnacentral:tRNA from 1 species
GCCUAGGUGGCUCAGUCGGUUGAGCAUCUGACUUCGGCUCAGGUCAUGAUCUCACAGUUCCUGGGUU